rnacentral:rRNA from 1 species
UACGUAGGGUGCGAGCGUUGUCCGGAAUUAUUGGGCGUAAAGAGCUCGUAGGCGGUCUGUCGCGUCUGCUGUGAAAACCCGAGGCUCAACCUCGGGCCUGCAGUGGGUACGGGCAGACUAGAGUGCGGUAGGGGAGAAUGGAAUUCCUGGUGUAGCGGUGAAAUGCGCAGAUAUCAGGAGGAACACCGGUGGCGAAGGCGGUUCUCUGGGCAUUACCUGACGCUGAGGAGCGAAAGUGUGGGGAGCGAACAGG